AAUCCUCAUGCUAAUUAGGGAAUAGAAUUAGCACCCUAGCAUUUUGUUUUCCUACUCGAUUAGACAGUGCUCCUUGAUCUGAAUGACAGGGGAGCUCAGCUCAAUUAGGUUGGCUUUUGUGAUGUUAUCCAAUUGCGUGUAGAAAUCCCAUCUUUAUGCUCCGAAAAACUUACUACUGAUACUCUGAAAGACAACAAUAUAUAUUAGUGUUCUUAGAUAAUUGCGCACUUGAGCGUUUGUGCUCUAAGUUGAUUUACCAGAUGACACCAUCAGUCUCGGCUGAUUUUGCAGCUUCAUUCAUGCCUUCCACUUGGCAUUGAUCUGUCUCCAGUCUCCACUGCAUUUCACUAGCAGCAGUUUUCACCUUUUGAGGUCUGAGCUAUCAAAUAUUCGAAUGCCUUUUCUGGCUAAUCCAAUAUCCCAGGAGUAUCACCAUGUUUACACAUUUAGAAGAUUUUUGCAGUUAGACGAUUCCCGAGAGAGCAAAGAGUAAGUUGAGAGAGAUGGAGAGAGCACAGAAGGGAAGGAGAAAGGAAUAGGGAGGCGCGGCGGUGGUUGGUUCUCCGGCGGCACUGGAUCGGGCACGGGCGCAGAGCUCCUGCUCGGGGACGCAAAGAUCCAGGGAGGCACUCUCCCAUUCAGUUACCCUUACUAUCGGUUCCUACGUGCAGCCCCGGCCGCCAUAGCCUGAACGGCGCGGACGUGUGCUUCUCCCCAGGGAGGGCCAUGCCGCUGCAGAUGAAAGUGAAUCCCCUUCCGAGCCGGCGGACAUGACAUGGUUGGUUUCACAGGAUUGACUCGGCUACCUAUAGAAGUGCCACCAAUCUGAACCAAGCUGUUGCGUCAAGCGACGGGCGCGACACGCACCUCCAACCAACGCUUUCUCCGGUGAUCCCCGGCCACGAGCACGUCUAUCCCCUACAAGCCGCUACCGGUGCUCCCUCUCCGCUAGAUGCGGCAAGGUCGUGCGAGUGUUCUGUAGCUCGGCGCUGCACCAUGGGACAGGAUCGUCGCCCUCCUGGCCACAGCCGCAAACUUCGUGUCUGGCCUGCUUAUCCUCACCACUUUCAGAAUCGGAGGCAGUGCGUGACUGGUGACCAGUGUCCGACUUUGAUCGUCGACGCUGAUGAUGGAUUCAAGCACUCCACCAUAUUCUUGGCUACAUCAUCAGGAUUCACACCUCGUCAGAUCCGAGAUCUUUGAUUUCCUGCUGUUUGGAAGGGAUCCAUUAGUCGCCGCUGUUCAACUUAGAUGUAACACAAUCUGUAAAAUCUGUAAAGGUCCAUUAUUGCCAUUCAGAGACUCCAUCAUGGAGUAAUUUUUGCGUAACCUCUAGGUUAAUUUUUUAUGUGGUCGGCAUAACACCUAAUUCAUAAUGAUGUAAUUUUAAAUAAGUUAUAAGGUUUAAGAGAAAUCUUAUACCAAUAAAGAAAAUAAUCGGGUUGGUCAA